rnacentral:rRNA from 1 species
AUUGAACGCUGGCGGCAGGCUUAACACAUGCAAGUCGAGCGGGGUGAUGGUGCUUGCACUAUCACUUAGCGGCGGACGGGUGAGUAAUGCUUAGGAAUCUGCCUAUUAGUGGGGGACAACAUCUCGAAAGGGAUGCUAAUACCGCAUACGUCCUACGGGAGAAAGCAGGGGAUCACUUGUGACCUUGCGCUAAUAGAUGAGCCUAAGUCGGAUUAGCUAGUUGGUGGGGUAAAGGCCUACCAAGGCGACGAUCUGUAGCGGGUCUGAGAGGAUGAUCCGCCACACUGGGACUGAGACCCGGCCCAGACUCCUACGGGAGGCAGCAGUGGGGAAUAUUGGACAAUGGGGGAAACCCUGAUCCAGCCAUGCCGCGUGUGUGAAGAAGGCCUUAUGGUUGUAAAGCACUUUAAGCGAGGAGGAGGCUCUUUUGGUUAAUACCCAAGAUGAGUGGACGUUACUCGCAGAAUAAGCACCGGCUAACUCUGUGCCAGCAGCCGCCGUAA